AUUGAACGCUGGCGGCAUGCUUUACACAUGCAAGUCGAACGGUAACAGGCCGCAAGGUGCUGACGAGUGGCGAACGGGUGAGUAAUGCAUCGGAACGUGCCCAGUCGUGGGGGAUAACUACUCGAAAGAGUAGCUAAUACCGCAUACGAUCUAUGGAUGAAAGCGGGGGACCGUAAGGCCUCGCGCGAUUGGAGCGGCCGAUGUCAGAUUAGGUAGUUGGUGGGGUAAAGGCUCACCAAGCCAACGAUCUGUAGCUGGUCUGAGAGGACAACCAGCCACUGGGACUGAGACACGGCCCAGACUCCUACGGGAGGCAGCAGUGGGGAAUUUUGGACAAUGGGCGCAAGCCUGAUCCAGCAAUGCCGCGUGCAGGAAGAAGGCCUUCGGGUUGUAAACUGCUUUUGUACGGAACGAAACGGCUCUGGUUAAUACCCGGGGCUAAUGACGGUACCGUAAGAAUAAGCACCGGCUAACUACGUG
rnacentral:rRNA from 1 species